rnacentral:rRNA from 1 species
GAUGAACGCUGGCGGCGUGCCUAAUACAUGCAAGUCGAGCGAACAGACGAGGAGCUUGCUCCUCUGACGUUAGCGGCGGACGGGUGAGUAACACGUGGAUAACCUACCUAUAAGACUGGGAUAACUUCGGGAAACCGGAGCUAAUGCCGGAUAAUAUAUUGAACCGCAUGGUUCAAUAGUGAAAGACGGUUUUGCUGUCACUUAUAGAUGGAUCCGCGCCGCAUUAGCUAGUUGGUAAGGUAACGGCUUACCAAGGCAACGAUGCGUAGCCGACCUGAGAGGGUGAUCGGCCACACUGGAACUGAGACACGGUCCAGACUCCUGCGGGAGGCAGCAGUAGGGAAUCUUCCGCAAUGGGCGAAAGCCUGACGGAGCAACGCCGCGUGAGUGAUGAAGGUCUUCGGAUCGUAAAACUCUGUUAUUAGGGAAGAACAAAUGUGUAAGUAACUAUGCACGUCUUGACGGUACCUAAUCAGAAAGCCACGGCUAACUACGUG